rnacentral:misc_RNA from 1 species
GAUGAAGAACGUAGCGAAAUGCGAUAAGUAAUGCGAAUUGCAGAAUUUCCGUGAGUCAUCGAAUCUUUGAACGCACAUUGCGCCCGCCAGUAUUCUGACGGGCAUGCCUGUUCGAGCGUCAUUUACACCCCUCGGGCCCUUCUGCGGCCCGGCGUUGGGGCGUUGCGCGGCACCCCCGCGCAAGCCCUGAAAUGUAGUGGCGGGCCGUCCCGCGUCUCCUUUGCGUAGUCACCAUACCUCGCUCUGGGACGUGGCCGGUUUCCAGCCGUGAAACACCCCCUUUUACAAGGUUGACCUCGGAUCAGGUAGGGAUACCCGCUGAACUUAAGCAUAUCAAUAAGCGGAGGA